UACGAGGGGGCAAGCGGUUGUUCGGAAUUAUUGGGCGUAAAGGGCGCGUAGGCGGUUUGACAAGUCUGAUGUGAAAUCUAUGGGCUCAACCCAUAGCCUGCAUUAGAAACUGUCGGGCUUGAGUAUGGGAGAGGUGAGUGGAAUUUCCGGUGUAGCGGUGAAAUGCGUAGAUAUCGGAAGGAACACCUGUGGCGAAAGCGGCUCACUGGACCUAACUGACGCUGAGGCGCGAAAAGCUAGGGGAGCAAACAGGG
rnacentral:rRNA from 1 species